AGAGUUUGAUCAUGGCUCAGGAUGAACGCUGGCGGCGUGCCUAAUACAUGCAAGUCGAGCGAAUGGAUUGAGAGCUUGCUCUCAAGAAGUUAGCGGCGGUCGGUUGAGUAACACGUGGGUAACCUGCCCAUAAGACUGGGAUAACUCCGGGAAACCGGGGCUAAUACCGGAUAACAUUUUGAACUGCAUGGUUCGAAAUUGAAAGGCGGCUUCGGCUGUCACUUAUGGAUGGACCCGCGUCGCAUUAGCUAGUUGGUGAGGUAACGGCUCACCAAGGCAACGAUGCGUAGCCGACCUGAGAGGGUGAUCGGCCACACUGGGACUGAGACACGGCCCAGACUCCUACGGGAGGCAGCAGUAGGGAAUCUUCCGCAAUGGACGAAAGUCUGACGGAGCAACGCCGCGUGAGUGAUGAAGGCUUUCGGGUCGUAAAACUCUGUUGUUAGGGAAGAACAAGUGCUAGUUGAAUAAGCUGGCACCUUGACGGUACCUAACCAGAAAGCCACGGCUAACUACGUGCCAGCAGCCGCGGUAAUACGUAGGUGGCAAGCGUUAUCCGGAAUUAUUGGGCGUAAAGCGCGCGCAGGUGGUUUCUUAAGUCUGAUGUGAAAGCCCACGGCUCAACCGUGGAGGGUCAUUGGAAACUGGGAGACUUGAGUGCAGAAGAGGAAAGUGGAAUUCCAUGUGUAGCGGUGAAAUGCGUAGAGAUAUGGAGGAACACCAGUGGCGAAGGCGACUUUCUGGUCUGUAACUGACACUGAGGCGCGAAAGCGUGGGGAGCAAACAGGAUUAGAUACCCCAGUAGUCC
rnacentral:rRNA from 1 species